rnacentral:rRNA from 1 species
AAAAUUAAAAGGACGCGGUAACCUUGACCGUGAUAAUGUAGCAUAAUCAUUCGCCAUUUAAUUGAUGGAUAGUAUGAAUGGUUGAACGAAUAUUCCACUGUCUUAAAAAGAAAUAAACAAAAAUUAGAAUAAUAGUAAAGAUUCUAUUUAAAAUUGUAAGACGAAAAGACCCUAUAGAGCUUAACUAUAAUUUUUCUUUGUAAUUUAUUAUAAAAGAAAAAUUGGUAGUUUAGUUGGGGCGACUGUCUUUUAAAAUUAACAAAGACAAGCAAAAUUAAUAAUAAAAUUUAUUGUAUAAUUUAUAAAUUUAACAAUUACAAAAGUAGGCUAUAAUGACCCGUUAUUAUUAAAUAAAAAAAAAUAACGAUCAAUAAAUAAAAGCUACCUUAGGGAUAACAGGAUAAUUUUAUUCUAGAGAUCUAAUCGAAAAUAAAGUUUGUCACCUCUAUGUUGAAUUAAGA